rnacentral:misc_RNA from 1 species
AAGUCGUAACAAGGUUUCCGUAGGUGAACCUGCGGAAGGAUCAUUACCGAGUUAGGGUUUCGUCCGACGAGCCCGACCUCCCAACCCUUUGUCUAUUAUACCUUGUCGUUGCUUCGGCGGACCGGUCGCGACCAACUAGUCGUGGCCGCCGGGGCCCGUCCCUGGAAAGCGUCCGCCGACGGCCCAACCACAAACUCUUGUACCAAACCAUGUCGUCUGAAUUUACUUGAUUAAAAUCAAAAACAAAACUUUCAACAACGGAUCUCUUGGCUCCA